UUGGAUAUAAUUAAUGUUCCAAGUGCCACUAGCAUUAUCUAUAAGGUCUGAAACCUUUAAAUGUGCAUUGUUCUCAGACAUCACAGUAGUAACACAGGAGUUAUCACUAUUUCUAUGCCAUGGUUGCCUCCAAACAUCAAUGUUAGCUCCAUUUCCCACUCGCCAUCUGAGUUCACUUCUGAUUACCACCUGAGAAGCUUGGAUACUACGCCAAACAUA
rnacentral:lncRNA from 1 species